GCUUGCCCUUUUGCUUCCUGGGUGUCCUCCGCCCUCUGCUCGCCGGGCUGCCCCCUCCCAGCUGCAGGCCGGGCUGAGAGUCUGGGGUGGGUGUAACCCAAGCUGGUGGAGAAAACAGAGGGUGACCUGCCACCUGCUAGAGGCUUCCAGGCUGUGUAACCUCACCGCACUGCUGCCGCGGGAGGUGCGCACCUAUGUGGACGAAGGCCCCUCGGCAGCUGGGAGGACACUGGACCAUCUGGAUCCCAGUUGCCAUGGCCACCAAAACCUGAAAGCAUUGGCUGCUCCCCUAUGGGGACUGACUGGGCUGACUUCCCAAGGUCUCCUCUAGCCCUAGGAUUCUACAGUUACCCCCAGCCAGAUGACACCGGGUCUGCAGUGAAAUAGGAGGAAGCGUCAUGUGUGAUGGAUGCUCAAGAAUUAUGAAUAUCCGGGGCCAGGUCCUACGCCCUCAACCCCAGCACUGGGAGGCAAGAGCAGGAGAGUCUCUGAGUUCAAGGCCAGCCUGACUACAUAAUCAGAGACCUUGUCUCAAAAAAAAUGACAAAACCCCGCUUCUUUCAAGAUGAAAUCAAAGCCUUUAUUAAACCUCCUUCCAAUGGCCUGCAUCCCGAGACCUGGAACUGAGGAGGAGACGUGAGCAUCACCUCCUCCAGACAAGUCAGGUCCAGUCAGGCCACAUGAAAAGCAAGCCACAGCGUCAGGUCAGGCGGAGCUCUGCAGCCUGUGCCCCACUCAGAUCCCAGCAGACACAGGCCACCCAGCACAGAAGAGGGACCUGAGCUCAUCCCUCUGGCAGGGCAGAGUGAGUCAGGCCCCCUAGCGGCCGCUCACACGCUCACUGAGGUCGCUGAGCUCGCUUCUUUCUCUUCUCCAGAGAUAAGGGCAAGAGAUGGAGGAGGUGAUUUUCAGUUGUGUGUGGGUUGGAUUUAAGGCUUUGGCUCUGGUUGGCUGAUAUACUAAAAUACUUUCUGGGAACACCAUCUCCUGAGCUCCCCUUGGAAUAAACAUAUUUUCAAAAAUGAAAACAGUGUGAGCGCAGACGUGGGGCAGUGUGGCUGUAGCGGACCCAGCUUGUCACGUCAGGAUGGUGUCAUCCACCUGCUCC